UUUGAAAUUCAUGAUUCACAUAAAUGCUUUUGUUCAAGUAUUUUGUCAUCAUCAAAAAGGGAGAGAUUGUUGCUCCUAGAUUGAUUUUGAUGAUUACAAAGCAGAUUGAAGGGAUACCAAUAUUUUUUAUUUGAAAAAGUCUUUGUGCUCUUCAGGGGCAAAAUCGUAAUUUUACCAAAACCCUAAUUUAAUAGUAUCAUUUGGUAGAACAAAAGAUUUGUGAUCUAUUGGCGAAAAUUUCAUUAUUUUUGGACUUGUAUUUUUGAAGUUAUGCAUGUUUGAAAUCCAUAAGUCGACUCAUGAGUCAGCUGAUGGCACAAUGAGCAGUUUGGCACGCUGAAUUUUUGGCUUGGCAC
rnacentral:lncRNA from 1 species